CACGUAGGGUGCGAGCGUUGUCCGGAAUUAUUGGGCGUAAAGAGCUCGUAGGCGGUGUGUCGCGUCGGCCGUGAAAACCUGCAGCUUAACUGUGGGCUUGCGGUCGAUACGGGCAUCACUGGAGUUCGGCAGGGGAGACUGGAAUCCUGGUGUAGCGGUGAAAUGCGCAGAUAUCAGGAGGAACACCGGUGGCGAAGGCGGGUCUCUGGGC
rnacentral:rRNA from 1 species